CCUACGGGAGUCAGCAGUGAGGAAUAUUGGUCAAUGGGCGCGAGCCUGAACCAGCCAAGUCGCGUGAGGGAAGACGGUCCUAUGGAUUGUAAACCUCUUUUGUCGGGGAGCAAAAGACGCCACGCGUGGCGCUCCGAGAGUACCCGAAGAAAAAGCAUCGGCUAACUCCGUGCCAGCAGCCGCGGUAAUACGGAGGAUGCGAGUGUUAUCCGGAUUUAUUGGGUUAAAAGGGUGCGCAGGCGGAAGAUCAAGUCAGCGGUAAAGUUGAGAGGCUCAACCUCUUCGAGCCGUUGAAACUGGUUUUCUUGAGUGAGUGAGAAGUAUGCGGAAUGCGUGGUGUAGCGGUGAAAUGCAUAGAUAUCACGCAGAACUCCGAUUGCGAAGGCAGCAUACCGGCGCUCAACUGACGCUCAUGCACGAAAGUGUGGGUAUCGAACAGGAUUAGAUACCCUGGUAGUC
rnacentral:rRNA from 1 species